CGAGGUGUGGCGCAGCUGGUAGCGCACUUGCUUUGGGAGCAAGAUGUCGCAGGUUCGAAUCCUGUCACCUCGACCA
rnacentral:tRNA from 1 species